rnacentral:rRNA from 1 species
UACGGAGGUGGCGAGCGUUAUCCGGAUUUACUGGGUGUAAAGGGCGUGUAGGCGGGAGAGCAAGUCAGAUGUGAAAUUCCAGGGCUUAACCCUGGCGCUGCAUCUGAAACUGUUCUUCUUGAGUGUCGGAGAGGAAAGUGGAAUUCCCAGUGUAGCGGUGAAAUGCGUAGAGAUUGGGAGGAACACCAGUGGCGAAGGCGGCUUUCUGGACGAUAACUGACGCUGAGGCGCGAAAGCGUGGGGAGCAAACAGG